rnacentral:sRNA from 1 species
UUUUAGAUGUCACCAUUCUUUUUUUUUUUGUGUGUUCCUUUUAUUUCUUUUAUGGGAAAUUUGCAAAGAAUAACUAACAAAAAUUUAUAAAUUAAAAAAGUAAUACAAGAAAAAAAAAACAGCUAUAUUCUCUAUAUUAUAUAUAAUAAUGGCAUAUUUACCUCUUUCUCUCUACCUUAUUCUAAGUUCCUCCUUCUCUCCUCUCUUUUUCAUCUUUUUU